rnacentral:rRNA from 1 species
UCGUUAAUUUUGGUUGCCAGCAGCCUCUAAGUACAGUGAAACUGCGAAUGGCUCAUUAAAUCAGUUAUCGUUUAUUUGAUAGUACCUUACUACUUGGAUAACCGUGGUAAUUCUAGAGCUAAUACAUGCUAAAAAUCCCGACCUCCGGAAGGGAUGUAUUUAUUAGAUAAAAAACCAAUGGCUUCGGCCUCCUUGGUGAUUCAUGAUAACUUAACGAAUCGCAUGGCCUUGCGCCGGCGAUGGUUCAUUCAAAUUUCUGCCCUAUCAACUUUCGAUGGUAGGAUAGUGGCCUACCAUGGUUUCAACGGGUAACGGGGAAUUAGGGUUCGAUUCCGGAGAGGGAGCCUGAGAAACGGCUACCACAUCCAAGGAAGGCAGCAGGCGCGCAAAUUACCCAAUCCCAAUUCGGGGAGGUAGUGACAAUAAAUACUGAUACAGGGCUCUUUUGGGUCUUGUAAUUGGAAUGAGUACAAUUUAAAUCCCUUAACGAGGAACAAUUGGAGGGCAAGUCUGGGCC